AUUGAACGCUGGCGGCAUGCUUUACACAUGCAAGUCGAACGGUAACAGGCCGCAAGGUGCUGACGAGUGGCGAACGGGUGAGUAAUGCAUCGGAACGUGCCCAGUCGUGGGGGAUAACGCAGCGAAAGCUGUGCUAAUACCGCAUACGAUCUGUGGAUGAAAGCGGGGGACCGUAAGGCCUCGCGCGAUUGGAGCGGCCGAUGUCAGAUUAGGUAGUUGGUGGGGUAAAGGCUCACCAAGCCGACGAUCUGUAGCUGGUCUGAGAGGACGACCGGCCACACUGGGACGGAGACACGGCCCAGACUCCUACGGGAGGCAGCAGUGGGGAAUUUUGGACAAUGGGGGCAACCCUGAUCCAGCAAUGCCGCGUGCAGGAAGAAGGCCUUCGGGUUGUAAACUGCUUUUGUACGGAACGAAACGGCUCUGGUUAAUACCUGGGGCUAAUGACGGUGCCGUAAGAAUAAGCACCGGCUAACUACGUGCCAGCCGCCGCCGUAACAC
rnacentral:rRNA from 1 species